UCACAAAGGAAAUUGUUAUAUAAGAUUAUGCUAAUAGCAAUAAUGAGGUAGAUUUGUGAGUUGGCUUUUAAUAGGAUUUCAUGAUGACGUUGAUGUGUGUGUGAGUUUCAAUGUGUAAAGGCGUUUAUCUGAAUGAUUAGGCUUUCAUUCUUGAAGAAAUAAAAGCAAAAUUUAAUCGAUUCUGACCAGCCCUGGACAAGGCAAUGGGGAGCCUGAAAUAAGCAUGGGAUGAUGCUUGAUGAUAAGGUUGGUGGUAAGAGAAGAAUGAAAAAAGGUGUUAACCAAAUGCUGUGUUUCGAUUGUGAACAGCCUCAAAUUUUGGUAUAUAAAGUCGACGGUUUGAGUGUUCAAAUCAUCAGUUUCAAAUCGUUUCCAAUCAACUCAACUUGCAAAUCUUACUCUUGUGUUUACACACCAACCUCACUUAAACCUCAAAAUGAAAGCCAUCAUUGCCCUCCUUGUCAUCGCCCUCUUCGCCGCUGCUGCUGAAGUCGCCUACAGUCAAUACUACGCUGCACCAGCUUAUGGCUAUGGAGCUGCUUACGGUUAUGGAUACGCAGCCGCCCCUGUUUACACCGGCUAUGCUGGAUACCCAGCUGCUUACACUUACCUCAAGAAGUAAACUGGACUGAUCCCUUGAUAUGACCGUUCACAUCUUGACCCUUCUUCUGCCCAUCAAGUCUUUUAUCUCCUUCCAAACCCAACAGAUUAAAUAGUUUGUUACUCUACUUUAAAUCAACCUCAAAAAAACUGUUUUACGAUUUUUUGUUAUUUUCUGUUACACUUGGAUAUUGGUUGUGCACUUUUUUGUGUAUUGCCUCAUUUCCUAUCCUUAAUGCCAGGUCACUUUAUAAUUCUGCAGAGAUGAAAUUCGAUUAAAACCCGAGUUAAGUCAAUAAAAAUUUCAUGCUUUGAAA